GCUACAAAAAAGAAAAAAAAUUAACAUUAAGCAGUUUGUUUUCCUUCCAAAAUGUAUAUAGCAUAGUAGUAAAGAUUAUGAAUUCUGGAACCACUUGACUAGGUUUAAAUCUCAGAUCUGUCAUUAAUUAGCUGUGUGUUCUUGGGAUCAUACUAACACCCACCUUCUGGAGUUGAUGUAAGGAUGAAUAGUGUCCCCCAUCUAGGGUUGUCGCAAAGACAAAAGCGUUGUUCAGAACAGUGCCUGGCACACCAUAAGCACUCAGUGAGUGUCGGCUAUUUUCCCUAUUCACUCCGAUUAGUAAACAGCCUGAGUAAUUUAAUAAGGUGAUUUUUACUUGGGGUUCAAAAGUUUUGGUCACAACCAACAUCUUAACAAGAAUGUCCUUUGCUCUGUACCACCCAGGUCACUCUCAGAUCAUGAGGCUGGCAGCAAGGAAAAUGAGGACGGAUUAUUAAUAUACACCAGAAAAUACAUUAUCUCUAGGAACUAUUGUUAACACCCUGAAAGGCUUUUCUUUUUCAAUAUCUGAAAUACAUUGUAGGAAAUUAAUUGGUUUUCUCAAUCUCAUUUCUAGUGUCAGCUGUGACAUCACAAAGCAAGCACCCAGAUGGCACCAACUGAACCUUUUAUCAGCAUUUGUAGUACUGAUGCCAAAAGGAAAUGGGCCCGGCAGCCUGAUCAAAAUUGUCAUGCUAACGGGUAGAUCCUUGGAAAUGAAGUUGGCAGAAAAUCAAUAAAUUAUCAGAAAAACACAUAACCAAGUCAUGCACUCAGCACUGCCUUCUGAAAUUUCUUCUUGAGCUUGUAAGUUGUCUUUAUAGGAGGAUGUAUAUUAGAUAAUUUUUAUGCAAUUCCUUGUGAAAAUAAAUACACCUGUCUUCACAAAUGAUAAAUUGAUGAAAAAAAUGAUUCAAAAACAAGAGGAGAGCAAGUAGCCUGCUCACUCUUGUGAGGCAAGCUGCCAUUGUGAGCUUCCCUGUGGAAAGGCCCAUUUGUCAAGGAACUGAGUCAUCAGUCCAACAACCCAUGAGAAGAGUCCUGCCAACAACCAUAGAGAAAAGUCAAAGUGCAGCUCCGUGGAGAUAACGUCCCAUGGUUGGUUGCUGCUGUGCUGAAAGGAUCCUUGCACUCUCUGCUAC